GGUUAGGUUAGGUUAAGUUAGGUUGGUUGUAUGGUUAGGUUAGGUUAAGUUAGGUUGGUUGUAUGGUUAGGUUAGGUUAAGUUAGGUUGGUGGUAUGGUUAGGUUAGGUUAAGUUAGGUUGGUUGUACAGUUAGGUUAGGUUAAGUUAGGUUGGUGGUAUGGUUAGGUUAGGUUAAGUUAGGUUGGUUGUACAGUUAGGUUAGGUUAAGUUAGGUUGGUGGUAUGGUUAGGUUAGGUUAAGUUAGGUUGGUUGUACAGUUAGGUUAGGUUAAGUUAGGUUGGUUGUACAGUUAGGUUAGGUUAAGUUAGGUUGG